GGUCUUCCAAAAUUUCAUUGUGAGCGACUCAAGUGCACAAAAAGGUAUCCCGCUCCACCGGGAAGGCGAAAUUUACUCGUCUGCGUCGACCUACGCACUAAAAAUGGCGGAUAGCUGGCCCGUGGGGACGUUGACACUAUUUGAUUGAGUGAUGUUCGUCUGGACCAAUGAGACGACGACUUAGGGACCGAACGUCCCGCCCAUUCAGACGGAGGGAAAAUAAUUUAGCGAGAACGACGCCAACAUGUCAAGUUGUCCGCCAAUUUUAAGGAGGGUCGAGGUUUUUGUACAUUGCGCUGCGUUUUCGCGAACCGGCUGCAACUCGGUGGAGAAGCGCCGUUCGAGAGUCGAGAACCAAACUAUUUCACAGGUGCCGUUCCCCUGUCCAGGUGACUAAAGCGCACCCGACAAGAUUGGCUGCAAGUCAAGACAAGAAGGUGUGGCUGAGACAUGGCCACCAACUUGACAUGAACCCCCACCCCCCAAGUGUUCCGACCACGGCCCUGCGAAGCGAGCAUGGGGCUACAUGCAUUGCAACCGUUUUGUUUUGCUUUGACAAGGGAUAGGAUUCUUUGUCAUCUGUGAAGGUCCUCUCUGACUGUUGAGGACUUGGCUGUCUGUAUCUAUGGGUGUGUCUGUGUCGUGGUGCCACCUGGUGAGGGAGUUUCCAAAUUAAAAGGGCUCCAGUGAAGUUUUAGAGCUGAAUGAAGAUGUCCACGCCAUGGCACUAAAUGUUCCGAAACACCAAACAAGUUUUUACUGGGACCGUUUGUGCAAACACUUCCUGUUACAAGUGAAUCCUCUCUCGCACGCACACACACACACACACACACACACACGCGCGCGCGCGGACGUCGGUGUACGUGGUGCUUUGUUCGCAUAAGAAGUGCACGCAUGACAAUGAGAGGAGUGUUUUCUUUUCAAGUCCUCGGGGGAGGGGGCGGCUCUGCAGGUGGGGGAGGUGCUCACUGCGCUCCCUCAGGUACUUUUGCCGCCUUCCAACACAAUUUGAGCAGCUACUGUACUCACCAACAUUGUACUUCAGACAUCCCAAAGAUUAAAAUGCUCGAAUCUGUUCCGUCUUGUAUGGAAAUGUGAGAAAUACCUCAAUGGGUUCUUCUUCUAUUUACUUUUUUCUUUUGCAGAAAUGAUGAGUGCUUCUACUGCUAUAAACAAGGAAUAAUGUCACAACUGUUUGUCCGUAACGUAGUUCUUAGUUACUGUAAAUCAUGUAAACCUUUGAACUGCAAA